UACAGAGGGUGCAAGCGUUGUUCGGAAUUAUUGGGCGUAAAGGGUGCGUAGGCGGUUUGGUAAGUCUUAUGUGAAAUCUAUGGGCUCAACUCAUAGUCUGCAUGAGAAACUGCCGGGCUUGAGUAUGGGAGAGGUGAGUGGAAUUCCUGGUGUAGCGGUGAAAUGCGUAGAUAUCAGGAGGAACACCUGUGGCGAAAGCGGCUCACUGGACCAUAACUGACGCUGAUGCACGAAAGCUAGGGGAGCAAACAGG
rnacentral:rRNA from 1 species